AACGGCCGUACCAUGCUGAAUAUACCGGUUCUCGUUAGAUCACCGAAGUCAAGCAUCAUUGGGCGCGGUCAGUACUUGGGUGGGUGACCACCUGGGAACACCGCGUGCCGU